rnacentral:lncRNA from 1 species
CCCCGCACGUCGCCCUCCCAGCGCCUGCUCUCGACCCAUCACCACCACCACCACCUCGGGUACUCGCUGCUGCCAGCACAGUACAACCUGCCCUAUGCAACAGGUCUCUCCUCCACAGCCAUCGUUGCCAGCCAGCAAGGCUCCGCUCCCUCCCUAUACCCACCUCCCCGGAGGUGAGAACGGUAAGGCUCCGCUCCUGCCGCACCUCCACGCGGGCAGCCGGGCCGGGCCGGAGGAGGCCGGGAUGGGCUCUCACGGGAUGCCCUCGAGGGUUUAGGGUUUGCCCGUGGCACUGGGGCUCAAGGGAGCUCACCUGCCCUUGGGUCAUGGCAGGAUGUGACCCACCAGGAUGCCUGGGCUAUACGAGACGUGUGACUGGCUCACAUGGAGAAGUGCUGGAGACUCCUUUAGACAUCAGUUGAAUGGUGUUAAUUGUACUGCUUGACGUUCCUGCCGUGGUCCGAGGUGGACUCUGUCUUCUCCCCUCGUCGGACACACACUGACUCCCCACCCCACCCCUCUUUGGCGAGUGGGUGAGCUGGUACCUGCGGAUGUAUUUAUUCUACUGAGCACCAGCACUCAGGGUGGAGGCGACACACCUGCCUGGUGCAUAUGAAGAGGAAACAGAAGCACUGAGGUUUCUCGAUGAAUUUGGGACCCUGCCGUGUCUCUGUGAGCUGCUGCUUCACGAACAGACUGGGGGCAGGCAGGGACUUGGAACGUGGGACCGAG